rnacentral:rRNA from 1 species
UACGUAGGGUGCAAGCGUUAAUCGGAAGUACUGGGAGUAAAGCGCACGCAGGCGGUUUUGUAAGACUGUCGUGAAAUCCCCGGGCUUAACCUGGGAAUGGCGAUGGUGACUGCAAGGCUAGAGUUUGGCAGAGGGGGGUAGAAUUCCACGUGUAGCAGUGAAAUGCGUAGAUAUGUGGAGGAACACCGAUGGCGAAGGCAGCCCCCUGGGUCAAAACUGACGCUCAUGCACGAAAGCGUGGGGAGCAAACAGG